rnacentral:rRNA from 1 species
CCUACGGGAGGCAGCAGUGAGGAAUAUUGGUCAAUGGACGAGAGUCUGAACCAGCCAAGUAGCGUGAAGGAUGACUGCCCUAUGGGUUGUAAACUUCUUUUAUAUGGGAAUAAAAUGUUCCACGUGUGGGAUUUUGUAUGUACCAUAUGAAUAAGGAUCGGCUAACUCCGUGCCAGCAGCCGCGGUAAUACGGAGGAUCCGAGCGUUAUCCGGAUUUAUUGGGUUUAAAGGGAGCGUAGGUGGGUUGUUAAGUCAGUUGUGAAAGUUUGCGGCUCAACCGUAAAAUUGCAGUUGAAACUGGCAGUCUUGAGUACAGUAGAGGUGGGCGGAAGUCGUGGUGUAGCGGUGAAAUGCUUAGAUAUCACGAAGAACUCCGAUUGCGAAGGCAGUUCACUGGACUGCAACUGACACUGAGGCUCGAAAGUGUGGGUAUCAAACAGGAUUAGAUACCCUUGUAGUC